CUCAGUAACACGUGGCUAACCUGCCCUUGGGACAGGGAUAUCCCCGGGAAACUGGGGCUAAUCCCCGAUAGGUGAAGAACUCUGGAAUGAGUCUUUGCCCAAAAGGCGUCUGCGUCAUGCUUGUAGGCGUCGCCCAAGGAUGGGGCCGCGACCGAUCAGGUUGUUGGUGAGGUAAUGGCCCACCAAGCCUAUAACCGGUGCGGGCGGUGAGAGCGGGACCCCGGAAAGGGCCAUGGAAAAAAGGCCCCGGUCCCAAAGGGGGCGCAGCAGUCGCAAAAACUUUGCAAUACACGAAAGUGUGACAGGGUCAUCCCCGAGUGCCGACCGCUGAGGUUGGCUUUUAUCCAGUCUAGAAAGCUGGGGGAAUAAGGAGAGGGCAAGUCUGGUGUCAGCCGCCGCGGUAAUACCAGCUCUCCGAGUGGUGUGGACGUUUAUUGGGCCUAAAGCAUCCGUAGCUGGCUGGGCAAGUCCCCUGUUAAACCCACCGAUUUAAUCGUUGGUCUGCGGGGGAUACUGUUCGGCUAGGGGACGAGAGAGGCAGACGGUAUUCCCGGGGUAGGGGUGAAAUCCUAUAAUCUCGAGAAGACCACCAGUGGCGAAGGCUGUCUGCUAAAACGCGCCCGACGGUGAGGGAUGAAAGCUGGGGGGAGCGAACC
rnacentral:rRNA from 1 species